AGAUUAAGUUAUUAAGGGCGCACGGUGGAUGCCUUGGCACUAGAAGCCGAUGAAGGACGUUACUAACGACGAUAUGCUUUGGGGAGCUGUAAGUAAGCUUUGAUCCAGAGAUUUCCGAAUGGGGAAACCCAGCAUGAGUUAUGUCAUGUUAUCGAUAUGUGAAUACAUAGCAUAUCAGAAGGCACACCCGGAGAACUGAAACAUCUUAGUACCCGGAGGAAGAG
rnacentral:rRNA from 1 species